CUCAUAAGGUGCUGACCAAGUGUUGUUACUUUGUAGCCGAUCCAUCAUCCAAGAUGGCCGCCAGCGGGGGACUUAGUUUAACAUUGGACCCAAUGGGAAAUGCAUACAAAUGACUUCUUUUAGAGAACCACUGAAUGGAAUAAAACCAAACAUGGCAUGAAUGUUCCUUAUAAGGUGCUGAACAAGUGUUGUUACUUUGUAGCCGAUCCAUCAUCCAAGAUGGCCGCCAGCGGGGGACUAAGUUUAACUUAGGACCCUAUGGGAAAUGCAUACAAAUGACUUCUUUUAGAGAACCACAGAAUGGAAUGAAACCAAACAUGGCAUGAAUGUUCCUUAUAAGGUGCUGACCAAGUGUUGUUACUUUGUAGCCGAUCCAUCAUCCAAGAUGACCGCCAGCGGGGUACUAAGUUUAACAUAGGACCCUAUGGGAAAUGCAUACAAAUGACUUCUUUUAGAGAACUACUGAAUGGAAUAAAACCAAACAUGGCAUGAAUGUUCCCUAUGAGAUGCUGACCAAGUGUUGUUACUUUGUAGCCGAUCCAUCAUCCAAGAUGGCCGCCAGCAGGGGACUUAGUUUAACAUAGGACCCUAUGGGAAAUGCAUAUAAAUGACUUCUUUUAGAGAACCACUGAAU
rnacentral:lncRNA from 1 species